rnacentral:lncRNA from 1 species
UAUGAUAAGAGUAUGAGUCUGACUCUUUCUCUUAACCUUUAAAAUAAAUAUAAGAAGACAGACGAACGAUCGUGAGAGUUGUGGUUCGUAAAUGUCAGAUUUGAUCUCAAUAUUAUUUAUAUAUGUCGUUAUUGUUAUUUUGGUUUCUUUCUAGUUUUUUUUUUUUAUAAACAGUUUUGGAAGGUUAAUCUAUUGAAAUGAAAGGUUGUCCAAAUAAUAAUUAAAAAAUGAAGACAAUUAGGGAUAUAUGACGUCAGAGAUGUAGACGUGGAAAAAUACAAAAGGGUAAGAUCGAAAUCAUGACGUGUAAAAUCGUAUCCGUGAAGGUAGCCGUUAAGGAGAAAGUUGACGGAGAAAAAGACAAGAAGCGUUGUCUUGGAAGUCAACGGAGUUGACGGCACG